rnacentral:rRNA from 1 species
AUUGAACGCUGGCGGCAUGCCUUACACAUGCAAGUCGAACGGCAGCAUGAUCUAGCUUGCUAGAUUGAUGGCGAGUGGCGAACGGGUGAGUAAUACAUCGGAACGUGCCCUGUAGUGGGGGAUAACUAGUCGAAAGAUUAGCUAAUACCGCAUACGACCUGAGGGUGAAAGUGGGGGACCGCAAGGCCUCAUGCUAUAGGAGCGGCCGAUGUCUGAUUAGCUAGUUGGUGAGGUAAAGGCUCACCAAGGCGACGAUCAGUAGCUGGUCUGAGAGGACGAUCAGCCACACUGGGACUGAGACACGGCCCAGACUCCUACGGGAGGCAGCAGUGGGGAAUUUUGGACAAUGGGCGAAAGCCUGAUCCAGCAAUGCCGCGUGUGUGAAGAAGGCCUUCGGGUUGUAAAGCACAUUUGUCCGGAAAGAAAUGGCUCUGGUUAAUACCUGGGGUCGAUGACGGUACCGGAAGAAUAAGGACCGGCUAACUACGUG